UGGGGAAUUUUGGACAAUGGACGCAAGUCUGAUCCAGCCAUUCCGCGUGCAGGAUGAAGGCCCUCGGGUUGUAAACUGCUUUUGUACAGAACGAAAAGGCUCUUCCUAAUACGAAGGGCUCAUGACGGUACUGUAAGAAUAAGCACCGGCUAACUACGUGCCAGCAGCCGCGGUAAUACGUAGGGUGCAAGCGUUAAUCGGAAUUACUGGGCGUAAAGCGUGCGCAGGCGGUUAUGUAAGACAGAGGUGAAAUCCCCGGGCUCAACCUGGGAACUGCCUUUGUGACUGCAUAGCUAGAGUACGGUAGAGGGGGAUGGAAUUCCGCGUGUAGCAGUGAAAUGCGUAGAUAUGCGGAGGAACACCGAUGGCGAAGGCAAUCCCCUGGGCCUGUACUGACGCUCAUGCACGAAAGCGUGGGGAGCAAACAGG
rnacentral:rRNA from 1 species